rnacentral:tRNA from 1 species
GCAGUGGUGGUUCAGUGGUAGAAUUCCCCCCUUCCAUGCAGGAGUCCUGGGUUCGACUUUUGGCCAAUGCA